ACAUGCAAGUCGAGCGAACUGAUUAGAAGCUUGCUUCUAUGACGUUAGCGGCGGACGGGUGAGUAACACGUGGGCAACCUGCCUGUAAGACUGGGAUAACUUCGGGAAACCGAAGCUAAUACCGGAUAGGAUCUUCUCCUUCAUGGGAGAUGAUUGAAAGAUGGUUUCGGCUAUCACUUACAGAUGGGCCCGCGGUGCAUUAGCUAGUUGGUGAGGUAACGGCUCACCAAGGCAACGAUGCAUAGCCGACCUGAGAGGGUGAUCGGCCACACUGGGACUGAGACACGGCCCAGACUCCUACGGGAGGCAGCAGUAGGGAAUCUUCCGCAAUGGACGAAAGUCUGACGGAGCAACGCCGCGUGAGUGAUGAAGGCUUUCGGGUCGUAAAACUCUGUUGUUAGGGAAGAACAAGUACGAGAGUAACUGCUCGUACCUUGACGGUACCUAACCAGAAAGCCACGGCUAACUACGUGCCAGCAGCCGCGGUAAUACGUAGGUGGCAAGCGUUAUCCGGAAUUAUUGGGCGUAAAGCGCGCGCAGGCGGUUUCUUAAGUCUGAUGUGAAAGCCCACGGCUCAACCGUGGAGGGUCAUUGGAAACUGGGGAACUUGAGUGCAGAAGAGAAAAGCGGAAUUCCACGUGUAGCGGUGAAAUGCGUAGAGAUGUGGAGGAACACCAGUGGCGAAGGCGGCUUUUUGGUCUGUAAC
rnacentral:rRNA from 2 species